UACUAUGAUGAUAAACUUCCAAUUAACGCUUGGCUUCUGAAAUUAUUGUAAAUCCAGUGUUGAUACUUAUUUUGCCAUUAUCUGAGU
rnacentral:snoRNA from 1 species